rnacentral:rRNA from 1 species
UACAGAGGUCCCAAGCGUUGUUCGGAUUCAUUGGGCGUAAAGGGUGUGUAGGUGGCGCCGUAAGUCGGGUGUGAAAUUCGUACGGCUCUAACUCCGAAACUGCAUUCGAUACUGCCGGUCGCUUGAGGACUGGAGAGGAGACUGGAAUUUACGGUGUAGCGGUGAAAUGCGUAGAUAUCGUAAGGAAGACCAGUGGCGAAGGCGGGUCUCUGGACAGUUCCUGACGCUGAGGCACGAAGGUCAGGGGAGCAAACGGG